AAUCCCCUUUGCAGUUUAUAGCACAGAGAUUAAUAACAUAGCUAUGGGAGAUAUUCUACCUGAUUCAAAUCUUUACCAACAACUUAACUGAUCGUCUACAGAGUCAGACUAGAACCACACCAUUGACUUUCCUGGGAAUCCAGCUGGCUGACUUCAGAUCUUGGGAUUUCUCAGUUUUCAAAUCAUGUUCUGGGGUACAUGUGCAGAUUACACAGGAUUGUUGCAUAGCCCUUUUCAAGUGUGAACCCAGUGGAGACCUUUGCAAACUGAAGUCAUGAAGCAGGUUGCAUGAGGCAGACCCAUCUCCUAGCAGCUGUAUCCAUAGACACCGCCUGGUUUUGGUCUCCAUCCCUUACCUAGCACUCAAGACCUCAUCCACUCCAGGCCCACACUGCGAAGCAGGGUUUUCAUUUCUCCUGACCUAUCCUUGCCUCAUAGUACUAGCUGAGGGACAUGGUCUUUCCAAAGGAUCUUGGAACGUGGACAGUACAUUCAUCUCUCUGGAUGCUUGAUGUUCCCUUUUGGAAUCAAGCGGAGCCAUCAGAAGGUCAACGGACCAUGUUUUGCCACAGUCCUGUGCAGAAUCAAGCUGGGUUAUGCUCUCACUGCCUCUGUCCCACAUUGAGACAGCCUUGUGAAUAUUGUUCACUAUAUCAUACACUGCCUCCUGUAUGAAGCCCAUGGAAGAGAUUCUUCUAGAACUAUCCUGGGGAAAUAAGUAUGGAUUGGCUCUCCUUUGUAUUGUGGCUGCCAGGAAACUGAAAGCCACACUUGAAACUGUACCAUAGCAGCCAGUGAGAUUUUAUGGUCUGGGUUUUGGGCUCUGUGUUCUUUCCCCAUUAUGUAUAGUUUCUCUCAUUCUUACUCUUUAUGCUAAUGAACUCAGUCAUGGGAUACGAUUGAAAUAAGAAAGUGUCUGGUAUUGUAGAAGUUAAUUUGUGAAGUAAUAAUAAUAACAAUAAUAAAUAACACUUACUGAGUAAUUGCUGUGUGUGAAGCAUUGUUACAAGUCCCUUAUAUGCAUUUUUGUGUUAAUUUUAACACAAACCUUAAGUGGUAGGUGAUAUUACUGUCCCAUUUUUGUAAAGGAGAAAACAGAGGCAUGAAAUGAUAAAUGAUUUGCCCAAUGUUAUGAAGCAAGUAAUUGGCAAAGUCAAACUUUGAAUAUGGGAUAAUUUGACUCCAGAAACUAAGACCUGAUCCAUUAGGCAUUAAGCUUCCCAAGAAACAAGAGAAAUGAACAUAGCCUAAUCAAACCUUAGGUAGCUUGUCUUUGCUUAUAAGAGAAAUGAGAUGUGGUGUAGGUGAGAGGUUGCUAAGGUUGCUGUGCACACAGGAGCAAAUAGAAAAGUGAAUAGAUCUGAGUGAGACCGCAGGCUCUGGAGGAGCCCACUGUGUUUUAGUGUGUUCUGGAAUGGGGACAUCUGUGAGCAGAGCCAGCAGUUGUUUCAGCUUAGGUGACUUCAUCAUACAUAUCCUACCUGCCUUUAUAACUUAAGUUUCAGACAGGCCAAUUCCUUUCAGUUCCACAACCCUGCCAACCAGCACAGCCUCUUGCCCUGGGUGUGGAUAUGCUGCUCCUCCUUCACCCCCAGGCUUAGCCUUGUAAACCAGUCCAUUUUUCAGGAAACAGCUCAGAAAUCCCAGGGGUGCUUUCUUGGGUUAGAUGUCCCGUCAUGGUCCCCAAACUUGCAAGUUGCUGUGCUUUUCUUUUCUACAGUGCUGAAUGCACUAUUAAAAAGGCUUGUUUAUUGCUCUGUUUUCUCUUGUUGACUCAGAGAUUCUUGAGGGCAAUGCAGUAUGUUUUAUUCUGCAUUGCAUGUUGGAAUCAUUAUGUAUGUUUGUGUGCAGAGUCUCUCCAUGAAGAUUUGUCAAGCAGCAAAUUGUAUCUGCUCUGUACUUCUAUCUGCAUAAAUAUUCAAAUGAUUAUACAGUGUUAUUUUAC